AACCUUUACACUGCACGCCAGUGCGAUAAGGGGACUCCAAGUGCGAGGGCAUAUAGUCCUCGCUUUUCUGGACCGUAAGGUGGUCCAGGAACAAGGGCUGGGCAAGACCGGUGCCAGCCGCCGCGGUAAUACCGGCAGCCCAAGUGAUGGCCGCUCUUAUUGGGCCUAAAGCGUCCGUAGCUGGCCAGGCAAGUCCGUCGGGAAAUCCGCGUGCCCAACACGCGGGCGUCCGGUGGAAACUGCCUGGCUUGGGACCGGAAGACCUGAGGGGUACGUCCGGGGUAGGAGUGAAAUCCCGUAAUCCUGGACGGACCACCGGUGGCGAAAGCGCCUCAGGAAGACGGAUCCGACGGUGAGGGACGAAAGCUCGGGUCACGAACCGGAUUAGAUACCCGGGUAGUCCGAGCUGUAAACGAUGUCUGCUAGGUGUGACACAGGCUACGAGCCUGUGUUGUGCCGUAGGGAAGCCGUGAAGCAGACCGCCUGGGAAGUACGUCCGCAAGGAUGAAACUUAA
rnacentral:rRNA from 1 species